GAUGAACGCUGGCGGCGUGCCUAAUACAUGCCAGUCGAGCGAACAGACGAGGAGCUUGCUCCUCUGACGUUAGCGGCGGACGGGUGAGUAACACGUGGAUAACCUACCUAUAAGACUGGGAUAACUUCGGGAAACCGGAGCUAAUACCGGAUAAUAUAUUGAACCGCAUGGUUCAAUAGUGAAAGACGGUUUUGCUGUCACUUAUAGAUGGAUCCGCGCCGCAUUAGCUAGUUGGUAAGGUAACGGCUUACCAAGGCAACGAUGCGUAGCCGACCUGAGAGGGUGAUCGGCCACACUGGAACUGGGACACGGUCCAGACUCCUACGGGAGGCAGCAGUAGGGAAUCUUCCGCAAUGGGCGAAAGCCUGACGGAGCAACGCCGCGUGAGGGAUGAAGGUCUUCGGAUCGUAAAACUCUGUUAUUAGGGAAGAACAAAUGUGUAAGUAACUAUGCACGUCUUGACGGUACCUAAUCAGAAAGCCACGGCUAACUACGUG
rnacentral:rRNA from 1 species